GCUUAUAAUUUAAUAGGGAAAGAAUAACAUGUACAUUAAUAAUUAUAAGAUAUAUAUUUGUACAGGAUGAAGUGAACGUAUCCUAGUAGGGUUAUAAAUAAAAUGGUGUGAGAGUUCCAAUGAAAAAGAAAUUACUUUGGAGUAAGAAGAUCAGGAAAGAAUGUAUAGAAAAUACGGGCCUCAAAGGAGGUCAGCAAGAUCAAGGGGCCUGGUGGAACCAAACUCUUUCUCACAAAUGCUAAUGGCACUGUUUGGAACUUUAUCAUCUAGAUUACAAAAAGCACCUUGUUGUGGACUAAGAACCAUAGCUUUUCAGAGUAAAUCUGCAGAUGGAAGCUGAUUAACAAGAUAAGAAGAGCCUAGGCUGACCUGAU